UAUUUACAUUUGAGUUUCUGGAGGAUGAUCUGUUUCAAUCUAUGUCAGUCUAUGGCUCACUUAACCCUAACUAAAAUUGGAAAUGCAUGUCAUUACAGUGGUGCUAAGAGUUGCAUCACCUGAGUUUGAAUGUCAUAUGACUUGUUGAUGUGGGAGACUAGUUAAUGGGUAGAUUUCACCUAGUCAGUAAUCGUGAUAGGGAUUACUUUAGCAGAUGAAUGAAUGUAAAUCAUAAUAAGGAAGACAUGGGAGGACAAGCUGCCAAGGAUGGAACAGCAUAAAGGAUAUGGUUUGAGAUAUUACUUGCAAUAGAACAGAAUAACGCAAAAGGGUUCAUAUGUGAAAUUAGGGCUAAGUUAGGUUUGAUCAUGAGUUGAGCAUUCAAUGUGACUGGACUUCAGAAUUGUUGCCUUGUCUAUGAGAGUUUUUACUAUUAAAUAUUAAAUACUCUUUUUUCCCACUUCUGACUUCUAUUUGCUGGUUAUGUAAAGCUACUACAUCCUUCAGAUAAUCCAAGAUGACAAAGGGUCAGAUUGUCACGUGUUCCGUAAAUGGGGUCGUGUAGGGAAUGACAAAAUUGGAGGAAUUAAACUUGAAGAGAUGUCAAAAUCAGAUGCGGUCAGUGAAUUUG
rnacentral:misc_RNA from 1 species